rnacentral:rRNA from 1 species
CCCUUAGAUGUUCUGGGCCGCACGCGCGCUACACUGACGAAUGCAACGAGCUUAUAACCUUGGCCGAAAGGUCUGGGUAAUCUCCAAAUUUCGUCGUGAUGGGGAUAGAUUAUUGCAAUUAUUAAUCUUCGACGAGGAAUGCCUAGUAAGCGCAAGUCAUCAGCUUGCGUUGAUUACGUCCCUGCCCUUUGUACACACCGCCCGUCGCUCCUACCGAUUGAAUGGUCCGGUGAAGCGUUCGGACCGUGGCCUUUGGACGGUUCGCCGUCUGUUGGCUGCGGGAAGUUCGUUAAACCUUAUCAUUUAGAGGAAGGAGAAGUCGUAACA